UACGGAGGGUGCAAGCGUUAUCCGGAUUCACUGGGUUUAAAGGGUGCGUAGGUGGGCAAGUAAGUCAGUGGUGAAAUCUCCGGGCUUAACCCGGAAACUGCCAUUGAUACUAUCUGCCUUGAAUAUUGUGGAGGUGAGCGGAAUAUGUCAUGUAGCGGUGAAAUGCUUAGAUAUGACAUAGAACACCAAUUGCGAAGGCAGCUCGCUACACAUAUAUUGACUCUGAGGCACGAAAGCGUGGGGAUCAAACAGG
rnacentral:rRNA from 1 species